GGGGGGGGACGCGGGUCUUUCGUCGUCUUUUCAUCUUUCAUCGGGCUUAGAACUCCAUAAUUUCCAUGCUGAAAUUUUUCCACGCUGGACAUCUGCCUUGAGGCAAUGAGGUUUUCAGAGAUGACUGGAUACAGGUGGCCUGGAGUUCUGUUUUUCUGAUGAGGAAAGGAACCAGAUGGAAACCAGGUAGAGAAGAAACAAUGGAACAAUUACAUGAGUUCUUGACAGAGUGCAGCAAAAUGCCAGGGCAUAGCUUAACGAAUCAGCCAUUUCCAAAGAAAAAGAUCCCAAAACAUGAAAGGCUCUGAGAAAAUGUUUGAUCCCAGGCAGUAAACUCGGCAACCUUGUCUCUGACCAGCGCUUUGGAAAAGGGACUCAAAGCUUAUCUGGCAGGUCGGUCUGUCCGCAUCAAGGACACAUCCUGUCACUCUGGUGAAAGAUGUCGCAAUUUCUCCAUGUAUGGUCCAUCACAGUCUCUAACCUGGGUGGUGCCAGUUCAGCACUUCUGUUAAAUGUGGAAUGAUAUAAAAUUAAAUUGGUCCUUGAAGCCAUCCAAAAUUCCCUCUGUUCCUUGCUGCACCAAUCAGUGGUUGAAUCAGCAGAGGGGAUGCCACUUCCUAGUCAGAGCACAGGAGCACAUGCAGCCAUUUGAGCGCAAACACCUGGCCUUUCCUUCUCACCAGUCUGCGCAAUGGGAUCUAUUCCAGAAUGCUCGGAUUUUCAUGGGUGUUCCCUCCACGAUGGGAAGCAGCUGAUCAGUUAUCCCAGCAAGCACUGAAGGCUUGCUUGCCAGUAUGGAAGGAGACUCUCUCCAUACAGCCUUCCGUGGUGAUCUCCUGGGAGGGGAUGGUUCAGUCCUGUGGUACAGCGUCCCUGCAUACAGAAUUCAUGCCAUAGUCCUGAAACAUGGGGAUUUGCCUCUUCAGCCUGGGAACGGACUGGCGCAUCACUUCUUAAGGUGAUUUUAGCCCAGUGAACCACUUGCCUUCACCUAAAGAUGGAGUUUGAAGCUUAGAGGGGAUGUAAUUAAUCACCUUAGAGUCUCUUCCAUUGUACUAGAUCAGAGCAAAGGUCCUUCUAUCACAGCAUCCAUUCUCUCUCAGGUCACACCACUGAGCUGAUAGUAUUUGGUAGUUGCAGGUCUGCAACUCUGAUCAAAACCAGAAACUCUACCCUGUAGCUGGGCAGUUAAUAUAGUAGGCAACAGGGCCCUGACAAGUCAUCUUGCUCAGAGGUUUGAAGUCCUUUUUUUUCCCCCGUGUGUAUCUAAGCAUUGACCAAAACCACAGACAACUUCUUUGAUAAUCAAACACAGCGUAUGGUUGACUGGGCUGCUGGAGCAGUGGCUGUCUCAUGUUUAUACUACAUCAAAGACAAAAAUAUUUCUCUAGACCAAUAUUAAACAGGUUUCUUUUUUCAAGAUGGUAAAGGGUCAUUGGUUCCCAGAAUAGGCACUACAUGGAAAAUAUCAAAAUACCUUCAGCUCUGUGUCACCACACAGAUUUUCCACAGUUAAAUUUACUUUCCGUCACGUAUAUCAGAAGUGUGAGAAAUCUGGAAAACCCUGGACUACCCCAGACUGCUACUUUCAACUGACAUUGAUAGGGGCUUACCCUACCUAACAGUAACAAUGAAUGUAAAUAUAUUUUUGAGGUUCCUUGAAAAGUCUGUCCAUUUGAGUCUCUCUAACAGACAAGUACUUCUUUUUUUGGACAACCAUUCUUUUAGUGGGCUGAAACCGAAGAUAGAAGAAGCCAACGGCAAUGACUGCAGUGCUACUGUGAUAUUUACACAUCACGAGUCACUGCUGUAUGUUCUUUAAUUCUGAUAAAGGGGAAAUAGGGAACAGGGAAAAUAAUUUGGAACCCCAUGGCAACUGGGCAGUCUCCCCCUAUUUCACCCAUUACUCCUCUAGACCAGAGCUGCCAAUGUCCAGUGCUGUCUGUAGUCCUUGUACCCUCACACGUGGCACCAGGCUGCCAAGUGACAUGGUAGAUUGAGGGAGGGUCUUUUUUUCAUUAUCUUUUUCAGAGACUCUGAGAUUUUCACUGAAUCUUCUUUCCUGGGUACUGGAUCUGACAAUUUUCCAGCAGUCUCAGCUCAGUAGCCUGCCCUUAGCUAUUCCUCUUUGACUGGUAGAUAAAUCUGUUCAUCCUGACACAUACUCUUUAAUAUAAUUCUUCUGCCGCUGUCAGCAGGCAGAGGACAAGUGGAAAACAAAAAGCACCAAGCUAACAAUCAAUCCUUACACACAAUGUAAUGUCAGAAGAGAAAAGGCUGUGAUCUCCCCUCUGCACUGUACUCCAAAUUGGUGCAAUCAGUAUGAAGACGUGUUAACUGUGCUUUAAUGGCAAUUCCCUUCCUUCUCCUCCCUCCCAGCACCUGCCCCUUCAUCCCACCAAGAAGUGAUUCCUUCUUCCAGGGUGAUUCUGUUACAAACUAUUACCAUGCAGGCAGCAUGGACAAAAUAGCAGUGCUCCUCCUUAAUCUAUUUGGACAGCUGCUGGAGUUAAAAUGGAGUGCUGCUUGCAGAGAUGUUUAGUCUCCACAUGCCAUACCUUUGUGCAGACCCCUUUGAAGUCUUCUCCCAAGAUGACUAAAUUUUAACCUCCCUUGGCCCUUGGUAUUCUGUAACUCUGGCAAGAGUAUAAAAUGUGUUUUGUUUGGUCUUUUCCCGGUUUCUACAGGCUAAAUCAAUCUAAUUCAAACUCUUUUUUUUAAAUAAAAGAUGUUGUUAAAUAAAAGAUACUGUUCACUUGCAGACUUGGGAAACCCCCUUUGAGGUUUUUUUACCACAGGCUUUCCCUCAAAGAGUUUGCAUUUCUGCCACCAGCUCUUUCUAGGCCUUUGGAUAGUGGCCAGCAGAUAAAGCUUUAGAAAGAAAAGACAAAGCUAGUUAAUUUGAAAGGAAAACUUGCUUAAUAUGUUCAAAAAACCCUAAUACCAAGGCACUGGUUUGGAGAGCUGAUCCGUGCUUUUGAUAGGCAUUUCAGUCUCAGCUCCAUCUUGCAGCAUGUUUGCAUGGAUUUGGGAAAAGCAUAUUCUGGUCAACAUACGCAACCUGUACAUCUUCCAGUUCAUCACAAACUGGCUGCAUGGCCUCCCAACGCGUGUGUGCUGAGCCAGGAGGCUGCGUGGGCGUAGGUCAGUCUGAACAACCUUCCCAGCCGAAUGGGAUAGCUGGGGACAGGCUACUGAGCCUGAGAUUCACGGAUAAUUAAGUAGAUGGCUGAUGAGGUGAGUGAGUGUUACAUGACACCAUUUCAGAGGCAGGAUGGCAAUGCAUCAACGAUCUCCUCAGAAGCCUGUGUUUCAAGGAGUCACAUUGUCAGGGUGCCACAGAGGUGCCCCGAUGGUGAAGACAGGAGAGCUUCAUCGACCCGUGUGAUGAAAACGUGGAGCUUUGGACUUCUGGAAAAGAGCUACUAAGUUCUACUUCUCAUCUCUCUCUGUGAGAAUUAGGGGAUCAAAAAAGAAUCCUCUCCUGUCAUUUACUCAUUCAGGUAGCCCAAGUCGGUGGUGUUGGCAUUCACCGUGGUGAUCCAGAGGAACAGAAGAGCAAAAUCUCUCAACAGAGAAUGACCUCACUUCUGGCCUGGCUUAUUGGAAGGGUAAAUACCGAAAAUAAUGAAAUAAUUCUCUCUGUCUUGCCCAGGGCUCUUGAAAACAAUGGGGCUGCUUGAUAUUUCAUGAAUGCUGUAGGGCAGGACCCUUUUCAAUCUUUUACCUGACUGGAGUAUUCAGAUCCCUAGCAGAUAUUUUGAGCUCCUAAGUUUUGCUGAGACUGAGAGCAUGCAACCUGUUUUAUAGGAGCUACUGCUGUUUACUCUUCAUCACAGACCAAAAUAAAUACCUCUGUAAUUGACAAGUAUGGGAUAAUCUGCCCCAAGUGUAAAAAAACUCAUCCUAAAAGUCAGAAAUUAAUUAAAUACCUAAAAUACA